GACGAACGCUGGCGGCGUGCUUAAUACAUGCAAGUCAACUUGACUUUAGAUAGCAAUAUCGAAAAGUAGGGUGGCGCACGGGUGCGUAACGCGUAGGUAAUCUGCCCUGAGGUCUGACAUAACCCGUCGAAAGGCGGGCUAACAUCAGAUGAUAUAUAGUCACGACAUCGUGGAAAAUAUCAAAUCUUCGGAGCCUUGGGAUGAGCCUGCGUCUGAUUAGGUAGUUGGCGGAGUAAUAGCCCACAAGCCUACGAUCAGUAGCUGGUCUGAGAGGAUGAUCAGCCACACUGGAACUGAGACACGGUCCAGACUCCUACGGGAGGCAGCAGUAAGGAUAUUGCUCAAU
rnacentral:rRNA from 1 species